rnacentral:snoRNA from 1 species
AUCAUAUGGAAGCAUGAUGAUUGGGUGUUCACGCGCUUGUGUGAGAUGUGCCUCCCUCAAGCCUUGUUACAACAUCAGCACAUUACCCAUCUGACG